GAUGAACGCUGGCGGCGUGCCUAAUACAUGCAAGUCGAGCGAACAGACCAUGAGCUUGUUCCUUUGACGUUAGCGGCGGACGGGUGAGUAACGCGUGGAUAACCUACUUAUAAGUCUGGGAUAAUUUCGGGAAACCGGCUCUAAUACCGGAUAAUAUAUUGAACCGCAUGGUUCAUUAGUGAAUGACGGCUUUGCUGUCUCUUAUAGCUGGAUCCGCACUGCAUUAGCUAGUUGGUAAGGUAACGGCUUACCAAGGCUACGAUGCGUAGCCGACCUGAGAGGGGGAUCGGCGACAUGGGAAGGGGGACAGGGACCAGGGUCCUACGGGAGGCAGCAGUCGGGAAUCUUCGGCAAUGGGCGAAAGCCUGACGCAGCGAGGCGACGUGUGUGAUGAAGGCCUUGGGAUCGGAAAGCCCUGUUAUUGGGUAAGAACAGAUGUGGAAUUAGACAAAGCGGUCUUGACGGUACCUAGUAAAAAAGCCACGGCUAACUACGUG
rnacentral:rRNA from 1 species